GGAAUUAUCACAAUUUAUGGGAUAUCAAUCCACAAAUAAACAUUUCACAACAAUACUAUAGUCAAUUGCAAAAAUGUCAAUUUUUAAAUAAUAAGGCAGUCAUUUGCACAUGAAUUUUACAAUGUCUAAAUAUUCAAAACAGUAGAAAUAAAUAUCACAAUUUUACUAAAAGCAGAAAUAUCACAUUUAUUUCUAACAAUAGAUAAGAAAAAUAAAUAAAUUUAUUUUUCAUAAUUUACAGCAUUCAAAAUUUCUAACAUAGAUAAAAUAUCACAAUUUUUAUUAAACAGAUUAUUUUUCAGGAAGAUGAUGUCACUUACUCACAAAUAUUUGAGAGGGAGCUUCCGAUAAAAAUUCGGCUUGAGAGAGGAGUUCACUGUGUUUCGACCAGAGAAAAAAUCUCAAAAGUUUUCUAAGGUAGGAGUCUUCACCUCUCUGAAUUUAAAUUCUACUAACAUAUUAUUUUUAUUCUUUUAUUAUGUUACAGGUGUGAGCGUUAGUUUACGCUUUAAACACCUCAAGCUUUUAUUACG
rnacentral:lncRNA from 1 species